GCUCUGGUGGCUUAGUGGUUAACGCUCUCGCUUCACACGGCGAGGGCCUGGGUUCGAUUCCCAGCCAGAGUA